rnacentral:rRNA from 1 species
UAUUUCCAUAUCAAUAAGCGGAGGAAAAGAAACCAACAGGGAUUGCUCUAGUAACGGGGAGUGAAGCAGCAAUAGCUCAAAUUUGAAAUUUGGCGUCUUUGACGUCCGAGUUGUAAUUUGUAGAGGAUGCUUCUGAGUAACCACCGACCUAAGUUCCUUGGAACAGGACGUCAUAAAGGGUGAGAAUCCCGUAUGCGGUCGGAAAGGUGCUCUAUACGUAGCUCCUUCGACGAGUCGAGUGUUUGGGAAUAA